rnacentral:snRNA from 1 species
AUUAUAAUUACCACCGAG